rnacentral:tRNA from 1 species
UCCCUUGUAGCUCAGUUGGUAAAGAAUCUGCCUGCAGUGCAGGACACCCGGGUUCAAUUCCUGGGUUGGGAA